rnacentral:rRNA from 1 species
GACGUAGGGCGCGAGCGUUUGUCCGGAUUUAUUGGGCGUAAAGAGCUCGUAGGCGGUUUGGCAAGUCGGGUGUGAAAACUCCGGGCUCAACUCGGAGACGCCACUCGAUACUGCCAUGACUCGAGUCCGGUAGGGGAGUGCGGAAUUCCUGGUGUAGCGGUGAAAUGCGCAGAUAUCAGGAGGAACACCGGUGGCGAAGGCGGGUCUCUGGGCCGAUACUGACGCUGAGGGGCGAAAGCGUGGGGAGCAA